GAGAAAGAGGAGGAGGAGGAGGAGCAAGCAAAGAGAAUACUAUCAGUGAAUGGAAUCCUUAAAGGCCAGAUCCUGAAUGGAGUUUGUACUGCAAAAUACAAGGAUGAAGCUUUGGAUCUGAGAUACUGCUUUAAGGAUGAGCAAAUGACAUUUAUUCCUAGCAUUUCCUUGCCUUCAAAUGCAAUGUCAUUUGCCUUCAAGCGUCGAUUCGGUCCUUCAGACAAGUUGAGCUACUGGUAUAAUUUGGACACAAACUACUGGAGCACCGUCUAUAAACACAAUAUUGGAAAAGACUACAAGUUUAAAGCUGGUUAUGAUUCGGAAGUGCGACUUGGGUGGGCAUCUCUUUGGGUUGGCGAGGAGAGCGGAAAAGCAAAGACAGCUCCCAUGAAGAUGAAAGUACAAUUUAUGCUUCAAGUGCCUCAAGAUGACAUCACAUCUUCAACUUUGAUGUUCCGCGCAAAGAAGAGGUGGGAUAUAUGAACUAUGAUGUCAUAAGACCCCUCCCCCACUCUCUUACCCUGCUGUAUCGAGAUAGUUGUUUACAGUGGAAAAUGGAUUGUUUCAUUCCUAAAAAUAUUAUCUGUCGCCUAUUCUGAAUCUUUCUACCAUAUUCAUUUAUGUUGUUACUUUCAUAUAUGUUAGUUAAAGCUUA
rnacentral:misc_RNA from 1 species